AUCAAAGCUAAAAUAGCCUUCCCACAUGUUAUAGUAGAAGAUACUCUAGAACUGUACAAGGUUAAAAAGGUAACGUGUUGUUUGUCCCAAGGUGUCUGCCUCCUCACCCAGAGCAAGACAUCCACCUCCUCACCCAGAGCCAGACCUCCACCUCCUGUCGGAAGUCCUCCAGAACGUCUGAAAGGUGAGGCUGGGGACCGGAGGCUUGUGGUGCCAGGAUGGACCAGAGACUGAGGCUGGAGACCAGGGGCCUGCAGCACCGGACCAGAGGACCAGGAAUCUAUGUCUGGGGGUGCCGAGCUGAUGGAGGAGUCGUGCUGAAGGCCCUGCCUGGUGGGGGAGCUGGUGAAG